UACAGAGGUCUCAAGCGUUGUUCGGAUUCAUUGGGCGUAAAGGGUGCGUAGGCGGCGCGGUAAGUCGGGUGUGAAAUCUUGGAGCUUAACUCCGAAACUGCAUUCGAUACUGCCGUGCUUGAGGACUGGAGAGGAGACUGGAAUUUACGGUGUAGCGGUGAAAUGCGUAGAUAUCGUAAGGAAGACCAGUGGCGAAGGCGAGUCUCUGGACAGUUACUGACGCUGAGGCACGAAGGCCAGGGGAGCAAACGGG
rnacentral:rRNA from 1 species